GGGAGAUAAGGCGGCAGCACCCGGCAGCUCAUAUGGAAUUACUGCAGUGACCUUGAGCAAGAGGCUGCCAGGGCCAAAGCCUUUCUGGGGAAUGCUGUCCAGCUGCUUUAGCAGGAAGCACUUUGCUGACAUGUGCCGGGUUGAGGGACCCUGCACCCAGCUCGCUCUGCCUUGGAACCCUGCUCCGACCCAAGCCCAGCUGCAGAGUGUGCCACACUCGGCCCUGGGCUGCUUCCACAAAAAGCUCUGUUCCAGCUGUGAUGGACAAGCAAACCCAGUCAGAAAGCGGUGAUAAGCCCAGACGCACACACAGGCUGAUGGAGACAGGCUGGGUGGCUCCAACACAAGGCCUAACCAUGCUCACAAUAUUUAUGACAUGAAUUUCACUCAUUUUUAAUUCAAGAGUGAUUAGUCUUGGAAGGAAGCAAGUAAGAGUUGGCUCAGAAUGGGGCAUGGGUACACUGAGCUGGAUGGAAAGAGAUGGCAAGAUCAGCACAAGAAGCAAGCUCAUGUGUUCAAAACCAGGCAGGGUGGCACACCUCUUGGGAUAGUGAGUUUUCACUGGGAUCCAGAAUGCCUCAGAGAAGCUGUCACCAAGUCCCAAGAGGAGACUGGACAAACAGUAAAGAAGAUCAUCAAAAAUGGGAUGACUUUUUUCUAAGUUAUUGUCCUGGUACUUGGGCUCAUGAGUACAAGGGACACUCUCUGCUCACUCACCUGCUAGCCAGGCAAGAUCGAGACUCAAAGAAUCCGACAUUUCACAUGUUGACUGGUGCUUUUAAAUUCUUCCUCCCUAGCAGAAAUGCCAGUAUUUUCUACUCAACUGUUUCUGAGGCUGUGAUAUUUCUUGCCUUGUCUCUUCUUGGCAAGCGAUCAUCUGUAGCAGUAACAGAUGAUCUAGCAA